rnacentral:rRNA from 1 species
GACGAACGCUGGCGGCGUGCCUAAUACAUGCAAGUAGAACGCUGAAGAGAGGAGCUUGCUCUUCUUGGAUGAGUUGCGAACGGGUGAGUAACGCGUAGGUAACCUGCCUUGUAGCGGGGGAUAACUAUUGGAAACGAUAGCUAAUACCGCAUAACAAUGGAUGACACAUGUCAUUUAUUUGAAAGGGGCAAUUGCUCCACUACAAGAUGGACCUGCGUUGUAUUAGCUAGUAGGUGAGGUAACGGCUCACCUAGGCGACGAUACAUAGCCGACCUGAGAGGGUGAUCGGCCGCACUGGGGCUGAGACACGGCCCAGACUCCUACGGGAGGCAGCAGUAGGGAAUCUUCGGCAAUGGGGGCAACCCUGACCGAGCAACGCCGCGUGAGUGAAGAAGGUUUUCGGAUCGUAAAGCUCUGUUGUAAGUCAAGAACGAGUGUGAGAGUGGAAAGUUCACACUGUGACGGUAGCUUACCAGAAAGGGACGGCUAACUACGUGCCAGCAGCCGCGGUAAUACGUAGGUCCCGAGCGUUGUCCGGAUUUAUUGGGCGUAAAGCGAGCGCAGGCGGUUUGAUAAGUCUGAAGUUAAAGGCUGUGGCUCAACCAUAGUUCGCUUUGGAAACUGUCAAACUUGAGUGCAGAAGGGGAGAGUGGAAUUCCAUGUGUAGCGGUGAAAUGCGUAGAUAUAUGGAGGAACACCGGUGGCGAAAGCGGCUCUCUGGUCUGUAACUGACGCUGAGGCUCGAAAGCGUGGGGAGCGAACAGGAUUAGAUACCCUGGUAGUCCACGCCGUAAACGAUGAGUGCUAGGUGUUGGAUCCUUUCCGGGAUUCAGUGCCGCAGCUAACGCAUUAAGCACUCCGCCUGGGGAGUACGACCGCAAGGUUGAAACUCAAAGGAAUUGACGGGGGCCCGCACAAGCGGUGGAGCAUGUGGUUUAAUUCGAAGCAACGCGAAGAACCUUACCAGGUCUUGACAUCCCGAUGCUAUUUCUAGAGAUAGAAAGUUACUUCGGUACAUCGGUGACAGGUGGUGCAUGGUUGUCGUCAGCUCGUGUCGUGAGAUGUUGGGUUAAGUCCCGCAACGAGCGCAACCCCUAUUGUUAGUUGCCAUCAUUCAGUUGGGCACUCUAGCGAGACUGCCGGUAAUAAACCGGAGGAAGGUGGGGAUGACGUCAAAUCAUCAUGCCCCUUAUGACCUGGGCUACACACGUGCUACAAUGGUUGGUACAACGAGUUGCGAGUCGGUGACGGCUAGCUAAUCUCUUAAAGCCAAUCUCAGUUCGGAUUGUAGGCUGCAACUCGCCUACAUGAAGUCGGAAUCGCUAGUAAUCGCGGAUCAGCACGCCGCGGUGAAUACGUUCCCGGGCCU